CUCAUAUCAUGCAUGUGAGAGAUCAAAUGCCUGAGAUAAUAUGAGCUUGUAAGAAAGAGCUGCCUUUCAUCUUCAAUUAUUGAUUGAGUGGUUCUUCACAGAUUGAGAGAGUUUUAAUUUUGGUCUCAUAGACUGAGACUGCACAGACCACAUCAGAGAUCAAAUACUUGAGAAAAAAUGGAGCUUUGAAGAGCUGCCUUCCCUGCUCAGGGAUAUUUGAUUCUAAUCAUUGGACGAAGCCAUGGCAGAUAUUAUUGCUAUGUUUGGCAGAUGGGCGAAGUCAGGGUUAUUGUCUCUUUUAGAUGGAUCUUCAUCUUCAUCUUCAUCAGCGGAACCUACACGAGGA